rnacentral:rRNA from 1 species
UACGUAGGGACCGAGCGUUGUCCGGAAUCAUUGGGCGUAAAGAGCGUGUAGGCGGCCACUUAAGUCCUGCGUGAAAUCUUGCGGCUCAACCGCAAGCGGUCGUGGGAAACUGGGUGGCUAGAGUGCGGGAGAGGAGAGUGGAAUUCCUGGUGUAGCGGUGGAAUGCGCAGAUAUCAGGAAGAACACCCGUGGCGAAGGCGGCUCUCUGGAACGCAACUGACGCUGAGACGCGGAAGCGUGGGGAGCAAACAGG